rnacentral:rRNA from 1 species
UAAGGAAUAUUGCGCAAUGGGCGAAAGCCUGACGCAGCGACGCCGCGUGGGGGAUGAAGGUCUUCGGAUUGUAAACCCCUUUCGGGAGGGAAGAUGGGAUGGGGUAACCCAUUCGGACGGUACCUCCAGAAGCAGCCACGGCUAACUUCGUGCCAGCAGCCGCGGUAAUACGAAGGUGGCAAGCGUUGUUCGGAUUUACUGGGCGUACAGGGAGCGUAGGCGGUUGGAUAAGCCCUCCGUGAAAUCUCCAGGCUUAACCUGGAAAGUGCAGAGGGGACUGUUCAGCUAGAGGAUGGAAGAGGAGCGCGGAAUUCCCGGUGUAGCGGUGAAAUGCGUAGAGAUCGGGAGGAAGGCCGGUGGCGAAGGCGGCGCUCUGGAACAUUUCUGACGCUGAGGCUCGAAAGCGUGGGGAGCAAACAGGAUUAGAUACCCUGGUAGUCCACGCCUUAAACGAUGGAUACUAAGUGUCGGCGGGUUACCGCCGGUGCCGCAGCUAACGCAGUAAGUAUCCCGCCUGGGAGGUACGGCCGCAAGGUUGC